UACGAAGGGGGCUAGCGUUGCUCGGAAUCACUGGGCGUAAAGCGCACGUAGGCGGGUCCUUAAGUCAGGGGGGAAAUCCCGGAGCUCAACUCCGGAACUGCCUUUGAUACUGGGGAUCUUGAGUCCGGCAGAGGUGAGUGGAACUCCGAGUGUAGAGGUGAAAUUCGUAGAUAUUCGGAAGAACACCAGUGGCGAAGGCGGCUCACUGGUCCGGUACUGACGCUGAGGUGCGAAAGCGUGGGGAGCAAACAGG
rnacentral:rRNA from 1 species